rnacentral:lncRNA from 1 species
CCUCCACUCCACCUAAAUUACAGUCAAAACUAUGUGCAGGCCAUGAAGUGCAAGCCUACUUAGCUGCACGAAAUCUAACACAUACCCUAAAAUUAAUGCAAUUACAUUAACAAGAGUUACUUUCAAAGUCGCCUUUUUGUGAAAAUACCGAUCCCAAAAUAUAAACGUAAAUGGCACCAUCUCAUUAGAUUCUCAAGCAACAUCUGUUGUGAGCUGAAAUAUCAACACUGUUGAGAAAUUAACCAUAACAAAAAAGUAACACCAUUGAAUUAUUCAAGGCAUGUCUUUGUAAAAGCCAUUUUGAUCAAAGAGGAGAAUGCAAGAAGAAUUAUGGGGAUUAUAAUGUUUGCUUCAUCAAUAAAAAUGUAAAACGACAAACCACUUCUUUGUCCAAAGUGAUUUCACCCAGAUGUCAAGGCUUAGCUCACCUUUCAGCUUUAGAACCACACAAGUAGAAAAUGCCCUUAUGAUCAAGUACUUUAUUGGCUUUUUAUCAACAUGAUUCAACAAUGAUGAUUGCUCAGAUUCUGCUUUGCCAUAAAUCCCUCCUGAAGACCCACAACUAAGUAACCUAACAGAAACAUAUUGAUGUCAACUCAAUCUCCAAAUUUUGCAUAAUUCAACUUCAAACCACAUUAAAGUAAAUGCACUCUCCGUACUAAAUCCCUUUUGUUGUAGUUCAUUGUGCAAAUAAUUCAAAGUUGUUGCCUUCCAAAAGGGUGUCCUUAUUCUGACUUCCUGAACUCUAGUUCUGCAACCAUUAAAAGAAAAUGACAAACAUUUAUAGUUCCCGUUACCAUACUCUCCUGAUUCUUUUUGGUAAACUAAAAACCCUAAAGUUGCAAAAAUCUCCAACAAAAUGUUCCUGAUUUCAGGCUUCUAAAUUAACCAACAAAGCAUCAAACACUUUGGCUUGUGUUUUGUUCUCAUCAUCUUUCUCAAACUAGGGAUGGCUACUUUUUUGAUGUAUUUCUCCAAUAUUACUCCUUGAGAGAAAUCAACUAAUUAUUCUUGAGAUAAUCAAAGUAAAUGAAAUAUAGCACAUGUACAGGUCAACUUGAUCUGAAAAACCAGAAUUGCCUUUGGAAUUAUUGCCUAUGUUAAUGUAACCUCAUCUUGUAACACAAUCCCCAUCCAGAUGUGAGACUUACUCUUUUAUUCAUAGCUUUAAGCAAAUGACAUUCCCUUCCAACUCUUCUCCCUAUCAGUAGGUUGAGAACUCCUAACCAAAUCUACAACUUAAAACAAAGGAAAGACCACAAUAAUAUCGUUCCUAAUGACUCCACUGCUCGGAAACCAGAAUAUAAGAUAGCCUCUUCUCCCCCCAAGAGGUCCCAACCCAUAAACCACCCAUGAACUCAACUUCAAAGACCGCAAGAUGAUAAAUUAUACAAAUUACAAGGAAAACGUAAUUUUGAGAAAAUUAAGAAAAAAAACUUUCGAUUUAGGGGGCUAACCGAGCUGAUGUAGUCGACCAACGCCGCGUUGGCUUCCCCGUCCCUCGCCGGAGCGUCGAUCUGCACGCCCAGCGCCUCGUCGCCGAAAUCUGAGGCCGACGGACGGAAGGAAAACUAGGGUUUUAAUGCGACAAAAUAGCAAUAGGUGAUCAAAAGGAGGGGGGUUGAGGAGAGGGAGCGAACCUGUGAUCGUGGCGACCUUAGAGCCCGGUUUGGCGUGGACGGUUAUGGCGACGGAGGAGGUGGGUAGGAGGCGGAGGCAGGCGGGAAUUCCUGCCGGCGCUGCCGGGGCGAUGGAGGCCGGAGCGGCGGAGUCGCCUUUCGCUUUGCCUCGUUUGGACGGUGCCAUUCUCUUGAACAUAGGUACCGCACCACCACCGUGGAGUACUAGUUCCCAAUAAACACGGCAUAUGAUAUGCCGUCUUCUGCGAGAGAGAUACGGCCGUCACGCCCCACCGUGAAGCUGAUUCCUGACUCAAACUUGAGCCGACCCUAAACUGGACCGGACAGAGAACAAAUGGAUCGGAAUCAAAGUCAGGCUUACUGAACUUUGAGAUUGGGUUUGGAAUUGAGAUUUAUAUAUACACACACACACACACAUACAUACAUAUAUAUAUAUAUAUAUAUAUAUAUAUAUACUAUANNNNNNNNNNNNNNNNNNNNAGUAGUAGUUAUUAUAUACACACACACACACACAUACAUACUAUAUAUAUAUAUAUAUAUAUAUAUAUAUAUACUAUAAGUGCUUUAUAUAUAUAUUCUUCUAAAUAUACAAAAUUGUAUGAUUAUUCUUAUAAAGUUGUUAUUUGUAUGUAUACUUACAUAAAUACUUGUUUUGCAUGUAUACUUUUUUUUAUUUCUUUUUUUAUAUGUGUAUCUAUACCAUCUAAUGCCGUUAAAAAAAUAAGUAGUUUAAAAUUAAAAUGAUUGAAAUACUUUUAAUGAGUAGACAUACAAAAAAUAUAUAUGUAUAAAGAUAUCUAUGCAAAUAGCAACUUUGCGAGAGUAAUUAUCCAAUUUCGCAUAUUUAAGAUAAAAGCUUAGUUAGAUUUGCCAAGUCUUUUAUAAUCCAAUUAUAUCGCAGUGGAAUGAAAUAAAGGCUGGUUUGGGUUGUAUCUUUUGCAUGAAAAAAUGAUUAAUAUUUUUUCACAAUAUCGACUAUUGGAUUGCACAUUACAAAUCUCAAGGCACUCCGAACUCUCUCAUUCAUUUGUCUGCGCAAAUCUCGAAGUGACCAUUGUGCAAUCUAAUAGUGGAUUCAUGCAAAAGGAGGGAAAUCAUUCUUUCGCGCAAAAGAUACAACUCUUGUUCAUGAUGACCAAGGUCAUAAGUGAAGCUAGAGGCCAUCCUCUUCCUCCCCUCUUUAUAAUAACUUUUCCUGCCCGUUGUAGCAAUGGCGAAUAGCUUCUAGGCCAGCCAACCGCCUCUCUACCCAUCCCCUCUAGUUCUCAAGCAACCGCACCUCACUUUCGGUACUUCCCCAAUUGUCAAAACCCAAGCCUUAGUUCCCUAAUUCCAUGUGGUUUCUUCAUGAAUUUUUUAAAAUACCAUCCCCCAUUUAAAGUUCUUGUAUUUAGUGACCAAAAUGGGAUUACCAAAGUAAUCUUUGAUCAUUGGUAACCCAUAUCCUGAGGUGAUUUGAUCCUCGAUGAUCUUUGAUUAUUGCAUUUGGUAUGCUAUAUUCUAGUGAUCGAAGAUCUCUAAGUAUCCAUGAGUAACAUAUUUGGUAUUAUAUAAAAACCCAAGAUUAUUAACCAUAUAGUACAAAAAUUACAUCUGAUGUCUUCCAUAAAAUAUAAUUUUUAAUCAAAUAAUAUAUAUAUAUUAUUAAUAUAUUCUAUAAAAAAUAUAUUUAUUAAUUCUAUAAAAAUAUAUUAAUUGUUAUUAUAGAAUUAAUAUUUUUGUUUAUGGUUAUAAUAUAUUAUUAUUUUAAUACUACUAUUUAUUUUGAUUGGAAAAAUAAGGCAAGUGGAAGUAAUCUAUUAAAUAAUUUCAAAAUUUGAAGAUAGUAUAAAUACAAAAAUUGCUAUCUAUGACAGUAUAUGAUUAGUAAUAUAUUAUAGUAUAAUAUAUAUUAUAAAUACAAUAUAUGUAAUAUCAACAUAAUAUAAUAUAAUAUAAUAUAAUAUAAUAUAAUAUAUUGAUAUAAUAUGUGAGGUAUAUUAAGAUACCAAUUUUUCUUACUGGACCGAGGGAUAUUUUUGUUGCUAAAUUUCAACCCAAGAUCACUGCAUUGGGAUGAUCUUAGAUACCCGACCUCAAGCACCGGUUUUUCAUCACUAAGUUAGACAGUGAUUUAAUAAAUGAGGAUGAUUUGCAUCACUACUAUGUAGAAAUCAUUAUGGUGCAAUCAAAUAUGGUGAUCUCGUCGCAUCCAUCCACAUUAUCUUUAAUUUUGAGAUGAUCAUCUCAUACCAAAAGCCCCAUAAAGAACGAUCAAUCUUAAUCUUGAAAAUUUUAUAAUUCAGAUUCGAUUGGGCCUGUGUGCAUCUCUUGUUUAUUAGUAGCCCGAGACGAAAUUUUNNNNNNNNNNNNNNNNNNNNGGCCGGGCCGGCCCGGCACGGCCCGUUGCCCAACUCUAUGUGCAUCUCUUGUUUAUUAGUAGCCCGAGACGAAAUUUUGGUUGAAUUCACUCGUGGUUUCUAUUUUCGUGACUCUAAUAUCAAUGUUACGGAAUCUGGUUGAAAUUGGUUUAUUGACAAGGAGUUCGUUAUUAGUCCGCCAAGUAUACGAUGGACAUGCAUUUUAUCAGAUACGGGGCAAGUGUCAUCACCUCCAUAGAAGGAAGUGAACCUCCUUGUCGAUCUCCACUUUUCUUUACCUCUUACAUUCUUUUGCAAAGAUAUUUGACAUCAUCACAUAGUUCCUAGGUUAUUGUAACAACCUGAGAUCUCAUCCAAAAUGGCUAGCCGAAAGAUAUGUUUUUGGGCUUCUUAGUUCCAUAUAAGUACUCAAGAUCUUCUUAAUAAAUAAUUGAUAUGGAACUAAAUACAUACCUGCACAAAUUCUCACAGUCAUCUUCAUCUAUCUUCAACAGGCUUUCUCCAACUUCUUUACCCAUCUUGAGGUCCCUUUUUUUUUCCCACAUCUUAGGUGUCUGCCAAUGCCAACACUUGCUUCUAGUAGCAUGUUGUCUGCGAGAUCCUAAGCUUCUUUCAAUUGGCCUGCACGGCCAAGGAGAUCAACCAUGAAAACUUAGUGAUUCAUUUUCGAUUUGUUUUUUAAUUUUCAUUAUGCUCAAAGUCGUCCAUAGUAUCUUAUUCUUUGGCACGGUCUGAUCAAAUACUUUUCUUGCUACUAGUAAAUCCCAUUGUUUAAACAAGAACAUCCAUUUGUAAUCAACAAAGCCUAGAUCUGGGUUCCUUCACAAACUUCUCCAAGACCACUGCAUGCUUUCAGUGUCAGAACUAAAUACUUUCUCAUACAUAAUCUUAUGUGUUCAUUGCCCAACAUGAAGAUUAGAACUAAAACCCAUCUUGUCGACACUUUCAGCAUCAAAUCCUUCGAACAACUCCUGAGGAGCUUCUGCGAUCCUUUGCAGCUCCGUUUUGCUCGGUAUGAAACUCCCCACUUGGGCUAUCAGAGAAUUGGAAAAUCGAAUCAUGCCGGCGUUGAGAAACUGCACCAAUAUGGAAGAAUUGAAGCAACUCCACGCUCACAUUCUGGUCUUUUCCCUUUCUCAAAGCAACUUCCUUGGAACUCAAAUCAUAAAUAUUUGCAAUAGCAAUCGAAGGGUAGACUAUGCUGCUCUAGUCUUCAACCAUGUGGAGGAACCAAAUCUGUUCCUCUACAAUGCCAUGAUCAAAGCGUGCACCCAAAACCAGCAUUGCUCUGAAGCAAUCAGCCUCUACAAACAGAUGUUGAAUCGCCGACACGCCCAAAAUUCAGUUCUUGCUGAUAGAUUUACCUAUCCAUUUGUACUGAAAGCUUGUGCCGGUCUACUUCUCCUUGUUCUUGGCAAGCUGGUUCAUGUCCAUAUAUUUAGAUCCGGGCUGACCUCUAACUCUAUAAUUCAGAAUUCGCUGAUGGAGAUGUACGCAAAAUGUGAUGAUUUAGUCGAUGCACGCAGAGUGUUUGAUGAAAUGGAGGACAGAGAUGCGGUCUCAUGGAAUACACUCAUCUCGGCGCAUGCUAGGCUGGGGCAAAUGAGGAAAGCUAGAGCUUUAUUUAACUCGAUGCCUAGUAGAACAGUGGUUUCUUGGACUGCAUUGAUCUCUGGGUACACCAUGGCUGCUCAGUUCUUUGAUGCGGUGGAGGUAUUUCAUCGCAUGCAAUUGGAAGGCUUCGAGCCUGAUGAUAUUAGUAUUGUAUCAGUUUUGCCUGCUUGUGCUCAGCUAGGGGCUCUGGAGCUGGGCAGAUGGAUCCACGCCUGCUGUGAUAAGCAUGAACUGCUUCAAAAGAGCUUCAUUUGUAAUGCUCUUAUAGAAAUGUAUGCCAAAUGUGGGAGCAUCGAUCAGGCUCUUCGAUUGUUUGAGGAAAUGAAAGACAGGGAUGUGAUCUCAUGGAGCACGAUGAUCGGAGGUCUCGCAUUGCACGGGCGAGCUCACAAAGCAAUCGAACUGUUUGUGGAAAUGGAGAAAGAUGAAACAGUGAGGCCAAAUGGCAUUACAUUUAUUGGUCUCCUAUCUGCUUGUUCUCAUGCUGGUUUGUUGGAUGAGGGGUUCAGGUACUUUGAUUCGAUGAAAGAGGUCUAUGGUAUUGAUCCUGGUGUCGAGCAUUAUGGGUGCAUGGUGGAUCUUCUCGGUCGUUCAGGCUGCAUUGAUCGUGCAGUAGAAUUUAUCGAGAGCAUGCCUGUUCUACCGGAUGCGGCUGUCUGGGGGUCUUUGCUCAGUGCUUGCAGAACUCAUGGUAAUAUUGGGACAGCUGUGAAGGCAAUGGAAUGGCUCGUUGAGCUCGAGCCAGACGACAUUGGGAACUAUGUCAUGCUUUCGAAUAUAUAUGCAGCAGCCGGGAGAUGGGAUGGUGUUGCAAAGAUGAGGAGAGUGAUCAGGAGUAAGAGCUUGAAGAAGACACCAGGGUGCAGCUUGAUAGAGGUGAACAAUGUGGUUCAGGAGUUUGUAGCUGGAGAUGAUUCGAACCUGCAGUUUGGUGAGAUAUCAGGGAUGCUAUACUUGUUGGCCUCCCAGCUUGGCCAUUAUGGAUAUCAGAGAACAAUGGAAUCUAAAGAAUAAGCAAAGCUUACAGAUUCAUCUCACAAGCUCGGCAACGAUAUUUGUUUUGCUCAGUAAAUAACGCAAAGCUCGAAGACGAGACAGAAGAGGUAAAAGAAAUUCCUCAAACAAGUGACUACACUUAAACUGCAUCUCACUAUACUUUUGCUUGCAUGUAUGUCAUUGGCAAAACAAAAUUGCAGUAGUCAAUUGAUACCAUGAUGCUUUAUGAAGAUUUUUUCUAUAGAAGAAACCAUGAUACGCCAUAUUGAUCCGAACCGGACGGUACGCCGUAUCAUAUCUAUUUGGUACCGAUACCCUGGUACAUAUGGUAUACCGAUAUUCGGUACGCUAAAAAAAAUUUCGUACCAUACCGUACUGAUACUAUGCUAGUAUGGCACCAGUAUGAAUCCGGUACCGAGACAACGAACCUCAGAAGAAACGAUAUUAAACUGACCUUAAAUGCUGAGAAAAAUAUUUGAUGAGAAAGCAUAAUUUCUAAAAGUUACGUGUCAUGAUUUUUGUCCUGGAUGCAGCAGAUCUUGAUAGCAAACCUUACCUAGACCUACCUGGUGGCUAAACUAAUCCACAAUGGAUUCAGUGAUCCUUCUUGAUCAUUAACAUGCCAUGGUUUUUAGUGUUUUCCAGCAACAAGUAGAAGGUGGCCCUGGUGAAAUCAUCCAACAUACUUUUUACUUAUUGUUGAUCAUAAUGAUGGAUGAAAACAAAAAAUAAAUGCUCUAAUUUGGUUGAACCUUUCACAUUAGUUAUUCUGAAUGCUUGAUUUGCACUCGGGGAACACAUGGACUGUGCACUGAACCCAUAGCGAGAAUCGCUUUUAGGUUAAAAACAUGACCUGUGAGUUCUUUAUCAUUGUUCAUCACAGUAAUGGAUCAAAAUAAAAAAAACAUAAACACUCUAAUGGUUGAAGUUUUUGCAUUAGUUACUGACAAUGAAGCAUCAUGCGAAACUUAUGGCUAUGCGCUGAACAACACAGUAAAGAUCACUUUGAAGUUAAAAUCCUAAAGAAAAAUGUCUUUGCAAUUACAGAUAAAUACAAAAUAUACAAUGUCUGCAAAUAUACUAACAGAUUCAUCUUACAUACAACUUAUACAGUGACAGAAUUCCAGGAUCAGCGGAUCUUCAGAAAGCUGGAUCCAAUCUUAUGGCUAGGAUAGAGCCAAUGCUUCGUUUCAGCUGGAGUAGGGGGAUGAAGAGGAGAAUGAACUGUACUUGUUUGAUUUUGAAAAUGAUGAAAUGGCCAGGUACUAAGUUACAUCUUUGACAGAGUAGCCUGCAUGCUUGAAACCAGGAGCAUACUAUUGAAGAAACCCUUCAAUUGAAGCUGGAGAAUAUCCUUCCGUAAAAAGAAUGCAAUGUUGAAGCUUCAUCAAUCUCCAACACAAGAUAAACUGAAGUGUGGAAAGCAACUGAUGGAAGCAUUCAAUUUCAUGAUCGGUGCUGCCUCAUGUUGUCAGGCAUUGCCAGCAGGACUGAUGGUAAGCUUCAAAUUUUUUGAAGGCUGGACCACAAUAAGCUAAAUGCAGAGAUCCAAAGGGCAUGCCAAAGUCCAAAGAUAAAAAACACCAGAAUACAGCUUGAUUUAGCUGAACAGUUAGCUGAAGACCUGUUGGCUGUACAACUUACUUUCUAAACAAACAACUCAUAUUCUCAAGAAUCUGUGAUGAUAGAACUCAUCAAAUGACAGGCGUUUCACUGCAAAGGAUAGAGAACUUCGUCAGCAACACAUGAUACACUAGAUGAAAAAUUGAGGUUAAAAGUACACACCUGGGUUUUUGCACAAAAGCCUAGCACACAUAUCAAUAGAGUCAAGAUGCAAACUGGGGAGGAUGAGCUGUGAAAAUGGCAAGGACGUACUACUCUUUAUGCUUUUUAGAAGCUGCAGAAGAAACCAACAUUAAGCCAGAACAAAGGCAAAAAGGAAGGUUACAAUAAUGAUGCAAUAAUCUUAUUUGUAAAUAGAUUAGCCACCUGAACAUUGUUACUGCCACGAAAAGGUGGAUACCCAUUCAGAAGCUCAAAGAAAAUUGCACCAAUGCUCCACAUAUCUACCUGGUUAGAGAAAGCAUUUCAAUUUGCUGUCAUUUGAGUAGGAGGAGAGAGCGACUUUUACCUUGUCGUCAUACUGUUGAAAUUCCAUAACCUCUGGAGCCAUGUAGAAAGGUGUUCCACAAACUGAGUCUGCAAACUCGCCAGGAUGAACAGCUCUAUUUGAAAGCAGUAGGAGAACAUGUAAGAAUUCCUUCUGAAGAUAAACAAUUAGUUGUACAAAAUACUCUGAAUUCUGAUAUGGAAUACUCCAGUAAUUUGCUACCGAUACCUUGAUAGACCAAAAUCAGCUAUCUUUAGCACAGCAUCACUGCUGGGAGUAGAAAGUAGAAUAUUCUGCUCCACUAACAGCAAAUGUCAAUGAAUUAUGAAGAGCAUGAAUUCUAUAAGUAGAAUUAGAUGGUUAACAUUGUUCUGUACCUUCGGUUUCAAGUCCCGAUGGAUUAUGUGGUGAGCAUGCAUUACCUCCAAACCUGCUCCUGCAAUAUGAAGAUAAAUGAACUAUUGUAUCAUAUCCACAAUAUUAGUGGGACAAAAAUACUUGCUUGAUACUUAUCAGUUCAUUGAUGAUACAAAUACCUAGCUGCUUCAUGAAUUUUCUGACAGUAUUUUCAUGCACCCUCCCUUUUUGCUGAAUGUAAGUGGCUAAGUUUCCUCCGGAACAGAACUCCAAAACAAGGAAUAUGCAUCCAUCAACCUGAAAUGGGAAAAUAUCGAGAAGCAAAAGAGUGAAAACGUAAAACUUCUAUUAAUGUUCAUCACAGGGACCAUGAUGCAUAACUCACAAUAAUGGAACUUAUUUUGAAUUCUACUUUGGAAGUUUUGAACAUGGCUGGUGUUUGUGAUAAAAAAAGCCCCAAAUUAUUUGGCCUUAUUGAUGUAAAAAGGCACCCAUGUAGAUAUACACAUAAUACAAUCCUCAGUAGGGAGUUGAAAACCCUUCUUUUCCACUGAAUCUUCAGGUGAAACAGCUAGCUUUAAGAAAAAUAAGGUGAUCUACAUCAAUUCUAUAAGUUUCUUGGAGUUUUAAAUGUGUUCAGCUGUUGCAUUUGAUCUUAUUUUCUUUCAUUUUGCUCUUUUAAUGGAUGAAGAAACUCAUGAUUGGCCUUCCUUCCAACUUCCGUCAUAAAAAUUUUGAUAGAGCCAUGAUGGAACACAAAAUAGCCAAGGCUCCACCAUCAGAAUUUCUGGUAAAAACUCCGCAAUGAAGCACCAGUCCUAGUUAAAAGGUAUUGCCCUCCAACAACAGGUUAAGAAAAAAUUUGCAAAAUUUUCGUUACUUGGCAAGUUCAAAAUUUCCUAUUCUGAACAGCAAGCCCUGGAUAUAAAGCUCAAAGUUACUGAUCCUCCUCCAAUAAAUUGCCCCCAAACCCAAAAUAUUCCCAUGAAGCAUGUGAUCAGAAGCUAAUGAAGUCUAUUACUCUAGAUAUUAAAAGCCCUAAAGUUCGAGCAAACAACUCCUCAAAAGCUCCAACUAUUUGAUUUCCGAACUAAGAAUUCAAUCCAAAUACCAAAACCUGGUUCCGAAACCCCAACUAGCGGCUAUCCAAAAGAGCUAAUGGAACCAAUUUCUCGAUAGAAUAAACAACCAAAAACUUUCAAACUGGGAAAUCAAUUGAAAGCUCAAAUCUUUACAUUUCUGAACUAUUUAAUUCAGUCUAAACAUCAAAUCUCUGAUUCAUAACCCGCAAGAAGCCUCAAUUUUAAGCUCUUUCCCCUCAAUCAAAAGCUUUAAAACACAAGUUUAACGUCCAAAUGAAAUAAAAAUGAGAGAAAAAAAAAAGAGAAAUGAAGUGGAAAGGGAAGGAAGGGAACCUGGAAGACAUCAAGGAGGCGGAUGAUGUUGGGAUGGCAGACGCUUGCCAAGAAGUUGAUCUCGCAAUCGAGGCAUUCCCUCAGGGUCCUGGUGAGCCCCGAGAGGCGGACCUGCUUCAAGACGACGUCCUGGCCGCUCGAUCGGUGGACCGCCCUCCACACGAUCGAGAACGGCCCUUCCCCUCCCAGCCUCCCCCUCACCUCGUACUCUCCGUCGCCGGCGAUGGACGGCGGUGGCCGCUCCUCCGUCAUCCGUCCCUCGCUCUCUCUCAUCCUGGUCCCCUCUCCGCACUACAAGCCAUCACUGUUCUCACGAGCCAACCGACAAGCACGAUCUCAAGCGUUUUGCGAGUCCCCGGACAGCUACCCAAAUGGAAGUAGACCCGCUUUUCCCCAAACCAGCGCCAAAUAAACCGUCGGCUGUGAUUCAGGGUUGACAAUUAUAGCAACCGGGCCAAGCCGGAUGGACGGUAGAUCAAAAAUUUAUCAAUUUAAAUUUAAUUAAUUUAUUAAAUAGAUAAAAUUUUAGAUUUGAAUGUGAUAAUUUUAUUAAAUAGAUGAUGUAAUCAAAUCUAUAAUAAGUAAAAAUAAGUGAAAUGGGGUAAAUAGCGAAGCACCGCCUUUUAUACUUAAAAAUGGAAGUAGUUGUAUUUUUGAUGCAAAAGGAGGAUACAUCUUUCUUCGCAUGAAUCCAUCAUUAGAUCACCAUUGCACAGAUCUCAAAGCAACUCGUACUAUCAUCAUCCGCCUCCGCAAAUCCCAAAGUGACUGAUGGAUGAUUCAACGGUGGAUUGGUGCGAAUAUCAAUGAAUAUUUUUAUCCAAAGAUGCAACCCCACUCUACUGAAAUGGGCCAGAGUUCCGUUGGGUCAACUGUCAAAUUGCGUUUUCUAGGCCCAAAGCCAGUUCUGCUCCCCAAAAUUUAAUUAAAGAUUUAUCAUAUUUUUCCUAGGGCUCGAUAUACUUUUUUUUUUUCCCGUUAUUAUCUUCUGUUCUUAAAAUCUUCCUAUUAUGAAGGGUUGAAAAGAAAAAGGAGGGGGUCAAAUUUUAGUUGUCAAGUAGUCAAGUAGAAUUAUAUCCUUGAUUUUCUUAAUUUCUCUGCAUACUGAUAAGUAGAAGGAAAAUCACACAGAAAAAAGAGGGAAUGGGUUGGUGCUCUCACAAAAAUCAUGACUUAAAUAUGUUUGAGAUUAAUUGGAUCAACAUGAGAUUGCAUACUCCAUGGAAAAGGUGUUUUUCUUCCCUAAUUUUCAUAUGAUUCUGAUUUGCUCCUCAACUUUAUGGCUGAAUCCUUUUUUUCACUAUCUCAACAAAAUGGGCUGGCACUCACUAACUUUUCAAAAAGAAACAAAUCAUAAACACCAUAACAACAUGUCAAGGAUUAUAGUGCAGGAAGAUCAGUUUAAUGGUCUAAAUUAGGUUUUCACAAUGAGGGAAAUAACAAAAACAUGCAUAUUUAUAUACAAACACACGUACACUCAACACACACUAAUCAGAAAAUCAAAGCAAUUAUUUUUUUAUGUCUUCAAAAAAAGCCCCUAGGCAAGAUGGCUUCCCUCCAUUUUCUUAAAAAUGAAUUGCAAGAUAGUUAACCUAGGGUGUGUCUUGCAAUCAAAAUAUUUUUCUUUUCGUGGCAUACUAUUGGGCUUGCAAAGAACGGAUAUGUUUCUAGGGCAUUGGACGAAGCCCCAGUUGAUCCUUCUAAAAGCCUUCAUGCAAGCAAUGGUUCAUUCAGAUGAUUGCCUCGGAAAAAUCUUUGAUAGCUCGAAAAAUCUAUGGUUCUUAUCGUGCAAUUCUUGCAUCUCCUAACGUAAUAUUUUUUACUUAGGAGCCACCAUCCUCUUAUUUCCUUGUGAUAUAUUUUGAUGGUAGGAUUCAAGAUGAAGGUGGCCAUGGGCGAGCCGGCUUUGUUAUCUAGAGCCAUAGUUGCAUGUUUUUUGGCUGCUGGGGGUACGUAGCUUCUUGACAUUUCAGCACCGAUACAAAGUUGCAUGGAGCAUAGGAGGGGUUGACUUAUCCUAUCAGAGUUUUAGGGCAUGCACAUCACUUUAGAAGUGAUUUCAAAACAAUGAUAAGCUGGUGUCCAUCAGGUGGCUGAUGUAGGAGGCACUCAACCUUAGUACAGGACAUCCAGCUAAAGGGAGCCACUUUUGUAUAGUCUGAAGCAUCUCAUGUGUACAAGGAAGCCGGUAGCAUGGUUAAUUGGGUUGCUUCUUACAUGGUCCAUCACUCUAGUGCAGUUUUUUUGGGACUCCAUGUUUAUUCUUCCUUCCCAAUUUCGAGAUCUUUUGUAUAUACCAACUCUCAAGGUUGGAUUUACACUAGAGCUAUACAGCUCAUUCACUUCAUCUUAAAAAAGAAAAAAAUCCCUUUCUUGAUACAUGCUUGAAGAGUAGAAGUCAACUUUCUAUCACUUUAAUUUCUAAAACACCUGAUGCCUUGGAGUCUUGCCAUUAUUUUUUUAUUUUUGAUAAGGCGAACAGAUCAUACAUGCCUAAUAUGAAUAUGCCCAAUAAAAUUAGAAAACAAAAUACCGUUCAAAUAAGUAUAAACAGCUAGAGUGUUGGUCCAAAGGACUUUCCUUAUAGUGCUCCCCAACAAACGAGUCUUGCCAUUAUUAACCAAGUACUCUUUGAAACACUAUGCGCUCUUUUCGAGCCCGUUGAUUUUCGGGGGUGGAGUUUUCUAGAUAAUAUCCUCAUAGCUCAAGGAAUAAUGCAUGAAUUGGAGAGAGCGCAGCUGCUCAAAAGUUUGACAGCAAUUAAACUUGAUACGAAAAGAGCAUAUGAUCGCAUGAGAUGGGACUUCCAGGUCCGUGGGCUUCUUGUCUUGGACAAGGCUGUCCUCUCUCGCCGUAUCUGUUCAUAUUUUGUGCUAACUUGGAGUCUCCGUUGCUAAAUCAGGCUAUUGAAUAGACCAAAGUUACAGGGUUAUCAACUCACUCCUCUGACGCCUCAAAUUUCCCAUCAAUAUUUUGUCGAUGACUGUUUGCUGUUGUUUGCAAAGGCAAAGAUAGUACAUGCUGGAGAUAGUACUAAAUCUGCUAGUACUUGGCAGCACUUGGAGUUAAUCCAAUCUCUAGUUAAAGCCUUAAUUCUUCUAACUAUAAUUUUUUCUCUGAGAAAAUUGCCACUAAGCUUAUAGGAUGGAAACGGAGAUCACCAUGACAGGCUUCAUUAAUUGUUCUAACCUAUUCUGUUCUUAGUUCUUGGGAAAAUGCAUCGCAUGGCUUGGGAGGUUGUUUAUUUUAGAGCCUAACAAUCUCUCAUCCUUGACAUGAGGACUAAAUAUAGGGUUCUCAUUGUCGAAUAUACCUUAAAAGCUCCCAGAUAUUACUCAGCCAUUUGGAGAUAAUUAUGCAAGCAUACCGAUGUGAUGAGAACUUAUUUACAAUGGAUGAUUGGAGAUGGCUCAAACAUCGAUGUGUGGAACAACCCUUGGUGAUUCACCUCGUCAACAUUUUCUCAUUUUACUGCUUUAUUUGAUGCUAAUUAAUUACUGAACUGUAAGAUUCCUGAGCUACUCAUUAGUGAAAAGAAUGUAAGAUUUAGAGACUCCAUUACUUUUUAUCCAGCAAUUGGUGCAACAAAUCAAUUCUAUUCCUAUACCUUGAGGAAUUGAAAAAGAUAGACUGUUUUGGGAGCCCCAAGAACGUUGAGGGCAAAUUUGGUGCAUGGUAGUGCUUGUGAUAGAAAUAAUUUGACUGUUACCAGGACGUAGGAUAGAUUUGGAAACUUAAGAUUCAGCCAAGAGUUGCUCUAUUUUGGUGGAAGCUUGGAUGGGUUAAAUUAUCAUGUGUGUGUACAUUCUGGCUUCAUGUAAUGAAUGUGCUCAAGUGGACAUGCAACUUGGAGUGCAUCUUGGAUCCCUUGAAGAGCCAAGCUGCAUGCCAAGGAAUACACCUCCAACUUGAACACCAAGUCAUCUUACUUGGUCUAGGGAAACCUGGGUUUCUCCUGCCAAGUGCAUUGUUCUCCUGCAGAUGAUUCAAUUCACUUAGGAACCUCCAUCUCUCGGUUCCAUUAACAUAAAUUUCAAUGGAUCGGAUAGAGGAGGGAUUAGCAUUGAUGGUGUGGCUAUGUUAUUACGGAUUAUCGAGGAGCGUUAGUAGUAGUUGGUCUUGUGCUCUUGUUUCUCACCAAUUAGCCUAUAGUGGAACUUAAGAGCUGCAUAGGAGGAGAUGGUAUAUAUUACUGAGAAAUUGAAUAAAGCUCAGAAGAUUUGCCUUGAAGGAGAUUCAAAAACAGUAAUUAAUAGUAAGUAUCCAAUGCCUUAUUUAGAUGUUCAUCCUACGAUCAUCGAUAUCUGGAGGAUGUCCACGAAGCUGGAAGCUUUACAAGAAAAGCAUGCUUUUCCUCAAGCUAAUUCUACUAGUAAUUGGAUCGCCACUCAUAUUGCCAACAAUUCGAGAGGAUAUACUAAUUCUCGUGCAGUGUAACACAUCUGUCUUACAAAAAAAAAAAGGGAGCUAGAGGGGCGGGUUGGUCAAUUUUGUUUAAAAGAAAUCAAAGUAAAAGAAGAAUUUAAUGCAAACAUUGUCCUCAUCACAAUGAAGUGUUUCCAUGCAAUAAGAAGAAGACAUCGCAAUCAACUGCCGCGUUGCUGAAGGCAUCCAUUUUGGACGUGUGUGCGCGAGCUUUGAUAAAUUAUUUACGCAAUAUAAUACAUAUGACAAGAAUUUCAAGCCUCAGCUCUAAGUUUCAAUGCAAAUCAUUGGCACAUCAUAUUCUUCCUAAUCUCCUUUUUCGCAUUCAGUUUUGCCACAAAAAAAUAAAAUAAAAUGGAGAGAGAUUUUCUUAGCAAAGAGAUAUAUUCAACAACUCUUGGGGCCCUCCUUAUCUUUUUACCGUGCAUGCAUGCAUGCAUGAUUGAAGAGACAUGAUAAUUGCAAAUCAGUCCCUUGUAGGGCCUUCUGCUCUGAAAAACUGAAGUGAUUCUUUUUUUCCACAGGUCAAGAUCUAACAAUGCCCCACUUGCCGGAUUUGCGCCUUUUAGGCCCCGCUGAAUGCAGACUCCUAGACGCCGCAUCCGGGCCCACAUGCAUGUGACGCCGGAGCUCGGUUAACAUUAUUGCCUAGAAGUCUAGAAUCGAAGGCACAUCCUAAUUAUGGGAUAUAGCAGCCAAGAGUUUAUGAAAUAAACGUGUCUUCAGGUUCUCAAAUUCUUAUUCACUAACAACAACCUUACUGCCAUCUUGUUCAGCAGUGUAACCAUAUAAAGUUAGGGGAAGAGUAAAUAACUCAACAGUUUGGAAUACAGGGAUUUUUUUAUGGGUCCCUUGCAGAUAAGCAGACAAACAUAUAAUUUAUCAGCCAGAGGAGCAAUGUGAAAGCACCAUAGCUUGAGUCUUUUUUUUUCUUUUGUAAAUUUUGGUAUCUUUUGUGAAUGAGCUACUAAACCAUUUGCCUUUUUGUGAGCAUUCAUUUAGAAAUUUCUCUAAAANNNNNNNNNNNNNNNNNNNNNNNNNNNNNNNNNNNNNNNNNNNNNNNNNNNNNNNNNNNNNNNNNNUCAUCAGUUCUUGGUAGUGGAAUUUCUAGAAUUGAGGACAAGGUGACAAUUGGGUCAUUGACAUGGAAAAACUUAAGAUUAAUGAAAAUCCAUAUGUUUGGAUUUUGAAUAUGCUUAACUGCGACAAGGAAUGGUUUCAUUGUAUCGGUGUUUCACUAUAUUAUCUGCCAUUUGCUAUGAUAAGGAAUAAUAAUGGCCCUUGUAGCAAUUAGUAUUUUAUUCUAACAAAAAAAAUAUUUUGAAGAUUAGACUCGGAAUUUUGGCAAACUGCUUCUCGUGACUAGUACAUAUGGGAACUACAAUCGCUACAACAAAAAUGAUAACUAGUAGUAUUUUCAAGUACCACUAUAAACAAAUAGGAAUGUUGCAAAUGUUCCUUCUAGAUAUUUUUAUGGCAUUUUCUUAUGUACCAUCUUAGAAAUUAUAAGUACCAGCAAAAAAUUCUCAAAAUAAAUUUUAUAAUCUAAAAUUCAAAAAAAGAGAGGAUUUUCGAACUAAUAAUCCCUCUGAGCUCUUAACCACCGGCCACAACUUAUAUUGUUCUUACACAGGAAUGGUUUAGUGAAAGAUCAUUUAGUAAAUAAAAUAGAUAAAAAUAAAAAAUAAUAUUAGGUAAAUAAAAAUUAAAAUAAAAAAUAAUAAUAGCUAAAAAUUGGAGGUGGAUAAGGAUAUCAAAGAUAAAAUUAGGAAUAGAAGGAAAAUAAACUUGUUUGAGAGAAGUUGGCUUAGAUUGAGAGAAAGGAAUUCAGACAUUAUGAAGAUAUAGAAGUUUGAAUAAAAUUAGUAUUUUACAUGCAUUUUUUAAUUAUCGAUAUUAAUGAUUGUUAUAUAAUAAAAUUUAUUUGUAAAUCAAAUAAUAUUUCAUUCUGGGACAAAUUUGACAGGCUUAAAGGGCCCCUCCAAUACUUUUUUACGGAGUAGAUGAGUAAAGGUAAGUUUAGGUACUUUCUAGAAAACAAAAAUAUUUUUAUAUAGCCAAUGAUUUGGAUAAUACUGCCAGUGUAGGAAUUAACAUGUUCAUGUUGCAACCUAUCAAGGUCAUUAUGUGAUAUGGAUUCACAUCAAAAGAUGAGUAGUGGUAUCAAAUGCCUGAACAUAACUUUUCUUUUCUUUUUCUUUUUUCUAGGAAACUCGAUCAAAAGAUCUAGGGAACUUUCAUUAAGGGAUUGAAAGAUAUAGUCUUAGAUUUACAUGAACAAAUCAUGUUUGGCUUCAAUUAAACAUGACAUACAAAAAAAUGGAUAUUGUAUACAUCGUUAUUUAUUAUUAUUAAUUCAUGAAUAAUCAAUAUAGUUUAUUGAAAGUGUAUAUUUUAGUUAUGAGAGUGAUGAUUAGUUUAAGUGAUAAAAUGACUGAAGAUUGGGUACUAGUGAUUUGGGUUGGAGUCCCACUUUCAACAUAAUUUAUAAUCUUAAUAAAUUUUCAUGGCCUUGCCCAUGAUCACAGAUAAGCCCACCGGAUUACACCAAGGUGGAAGUAGUUUUAGUCCUUAAAACCAAUUAAUAUAAACACAUGAAGUGUCGGGGGAAUAAUUAAAAGCAUAUGGAAAGAUCCGCCGGCAUUAAUUCCGCUACAAGCGAAAUGAUUGAACCCAUCGUACAAAACUGCCCCCACUCAAAUGAACGUGAUUAGACGCUAUUAACUUAUAAUAUUAGCCGUACGAAAUAAAUGUGCGUGUCAUAUGCGCGUGUGUGUAUGAAAGAGAUAAAGCAAGCCGAGAGAAGAAAUUAUACCCUUGGCCAGAAGCACAACUGGCAGCCCCGUGGACCACACCAAUCAUAAUUUUUAUUUUUGUGAACUUACAUUUUAUCGUACAGCUUGGAUUAUUCCAAUAACGCAUCAUUGAUAUAAUGCACUUGAUCUAGGGUAUAUUUUCUCGAGCGAGAGCAAGAGGUAAACAGAAAAAUUAUAUCCUACGUCCAAUCAGUAUUUUGGCCAUGUGUAUCAGCUCAGCAAACAAAAAAAAAAAAAAAGACUUUCCAAACGAAUACUCUGCCCCUCCUCUGAAACCCUAGCCUAGCACUCUUCCUCCCCUCUCUACUUUCUUCUUUUGCCUUGCCUUCCACCUCUAGCCAUGUAGCUUCCGCAUCUUGGUAGCCCAAUGAGAGCCGCAGUAAGGAUAAGCUCCGAGCACUCUGCAUGCUCUUAUGUAGUUCGUCAAUGAUGGAAUCAUCGAUCAAAUAUUGUCAAAGCUUCGAAAGAAGCAAUCUAGUAGGAGCCGCACUGAGGAUGAGGAGCUUUGAGCUGUCCAUAAACCCUUAUCCAAGCCUAGCAUUGGGAGAGACUGGAGGCCAUGAAAGAAGAGGAAGAGGGCUAGAAAGUGGAAGCCACAUUUUUUUCCCCUCUUUGAGUUCAUCAUGUUCAUGUGAUGGCCUAUUAUUGACUUGGUGCACGCUAAGUUGGGACAUCGGAUGUAGGGUAUAAUUGUGAUAUACAUGUGAUAUGGGAUAUAAUUGUGAUAUCAAUGUGAUACAGGGUAUAAUUGUGUGUGUGUAUGUGUGUGUGUGUGUGUGUGUGUGAGAGAGAGAGAGAGAGAGAGAGAGAGAGAGAGAGAGAGAGAGAGAGAGAGAGAGAGAGAGANNNNNNNNNNNNNNNNNNNNUGUGUGUGUGUGUGUGUGUGUGUGUGUGUGUGUGUGUGAGAGAGAGAGAGAGAGAGAGAGAGAGAGAGAGAGCGCUUAGUCAAGAAGUAGUGGUCCCGAGUGGGAAAAAAAAAGUUCAUGUCACGUUUUCAAGCUGGCAUGCACUCUCCGGGGCGAAAACGACAGUGUCCAAGUUUUCCUUUUGGGUCAGCAAGGAAGUCCAGAAACUCGUAACCAGCAGCCUUGCAUGGAUAAACUAAGGUCCAUGUCUUAUUUUUCAUUUGAAUCACAGUUGCCAAGUCCAGUAACGCGGCACCUACUACCUAGUCUCUUCGCCUAUAUAAAGGAAGGUUGAGAGCCUGGGUGUUCUCAGACAAGGGAAGCUCAACUGGGUCGAGACACGUACGUUAGACUGAUGGAUAGGAGAGGAAGGGAGGAGGCCUCCAUGGCCUGCCUUGUUUCCACUCUCAUGGUGCUCUUUGUUUCUCUGAGCUUGCCUCUUCAGACACAAGCAAAUUAUCCUUACCCAUACAAGUCACCACCACCACCACCUCUCCACCACCACAAACCACCAACACUACCACCUCCUCCUGUUUACCACUACAAAUCACCACCUCCCCCUCCCCAUGUCUACAAGUAUAAAUCUCCACCACCACCUCCUUACCACCCCAUAUCACCAGCUCCUCCUCAUCAUCAUGCCUACAAGUAUAAAUCUCCACCACCACCUCCUUACCACCCUGCUCCUAUCUACAAGUACAAGUCACCACCUCCCCUCAUCAUGCUUACAAAUAUAAAUCUCCACCACCCCCUCUUCACCACCCUGCUCCUGUCUACAAGUACAAGUCACCACCUCCUCCUCACCAUGUCUACAAGUACAAAUCUCCACCACCCCCUCGCCAUUACAAGGCACCUUGUCCUCCUUCCCCUGUCUACAAAUAUAAAUCACCACCACCCCCUCCCUACCAUCACAUAUCACCAACCCUACCUCCCUACCACGACAAGUCACCACCACCACCCCCUCCUGUUUACAAGUAUAAAUCACCACCGCCACCUCCCUAUCACUACAAGUCACCACCACCUCCCCCUCCAGUCUACAAGUAUAAGUCUCCUCCACCACCUCCACAUGUUUAUCACUACACUUCACCUCCUCCUCCUCCCUAUCACUAUUAAGCGGCAGAACACCGUCGAAACCAAAAGGGUUAGUUGCUUGUAUUUUCUGAGCUCAGAAUAUGGUUAAAAAUGAAGUUACUUGGAGUAAUAACAAACGGAUGUUUCUUGUUCUUUCUUUCUUUGUUUUCUUUCUCUUUUUUUUUUAAGAGAGCUAAUUAAUUAAGCCGAAGCCAAAUGGAAAACACAUGGGCAAUUUUAAAACAGCACCAUUGGAACAUAACCCCCCUCUCGUUUUUUAUUAUUUUGC